ACUGGAUACUGGAAUUUAAUAUUGUUUUUACUCAUUGUUGACACAUUUCACCUGAGGAAAUACAUUGUGACAGCAAGGGUUUUACUAGUGACGAUAUGCAUAUGGACUUGACAGUUUCAUAUAGCAUCCGCCUCUGUCAGGUUGGAGUGUUUAAUUCCAAACAGGCACCGGUAAUCCCUGCCAUAUCUCCUUGAUGCCAAGCAAGCUGCUGUUCCACGCAGGUCUGGAGGAGGAUCGUCUUAACAAGCACAGUGGAACAGACACUUUAAUUAAAAACUACAAGUUCCAAUUGGAGGUGGAGUCCAAAAAUAAUUUCAGUUACAUAAAUAAACAACGAUUGCUGCCA